rnacentral:rRNA from 1 species
AUUGAACGCUGGCGGCAUGCCUUACACAUGCAAGUCGAACGGCAGCACGGGAGCAAUCCUGGUGGCGAGUGGCGAACGGGUGAGUAAAGUAUCGGAACGUGCCCAGUCGUGGGGGAUAACGUAGCGAAAGCUACGCUAAUGCGGCAUACGAUCUAUGGAUGUUAGCGGGGGAUCGCAAGACCUCGCGCGAUUGGAGCGGCCGAUAUCAGAUUAGGUAGUUGGUGGGGUAAAGGCCCACCAAGCCGACGAUCUGUAGCUGGUCUGAGAGGACGACCAGCCACACUGGGACUGAGACACGGCCCAGACUCCUACGGGAGGCAGCAGUGGGGAAUUUUGGACAAUGGGCGCAAGCCUGAUCAAGCAAUGCCGCGUGCAGGAUGAAGGCCUUCGGGUUGUAAACUGCUUUUGUACGGAGCGAAAAGGCUCUCUCUAAUACAGGGGGCUCAUGA